ACAUUGGCAAUGGGGUCCCUUGUGUUGUUGAGGGAUGGGUGCUAAUGCUGGCAUCUGAAUGAUUAUCUUCUGACUGUUUUCAUUUGUUAAAGCUUAAACGCAGUGUACAACCUGGGACGUCACACCCAGAGCUGCCUCUGGCAAGAGGUGUUGUAGCUGGCUUAAGAGGGUAGAUGGAAGCAUCUGCCUCGGGGUGUCUCGCAGAGGUUCAAAGGAGCAAACUGCAUUCUGAAGAGCUGCGUGCCAUGGCAGGCUUUCCACACAAGUGGCUGAGGACUUGAGAUGAGACCAGAGAGUGACAAGGAGCAGCACGUGCAGGGAUGGUUUCCAAGCGCUGCGGUUGCUUUCUCUUCUGUUCAUCAGGUGCCACAGGCAAGGUGAAGAGGUGCCUGGAGCCCCAUGUCAUCUAGCCUGC